rnacentral:miRNA from 1 species
CAGGACACCCAGUUAAAUGGGAAUUUCAGAUAAACAGUGAAUAAAUCUGUAGUAUACGUAUAUCCCACAUAUUACAUGUGACAUACUUAUGCUAAAAAUGUUGUUCAUCGUUUACCUGAAAUUCAAAUUUAACUGGGCAUCCUGUA